UUGAGACGUUAACCUUUCAUAUUUCUGUCUCUCACACAUGGUGAGGCAGCUGUGCCCCUGCAGCUCAUGGAGGCCCAUGCUGGAGUAGAGAUGCACCUCCAGCCCACAGAUGACCACACACCAGAGCAGAUGGGUGUCUGAAGGAGGCUGUAGCUGUGGGAAGGCUGCACUUUAGCAGGUUCUUGGCAGGACCUGUGGAUCCAUGGAGAGCAGAGCUCACACUGAUGCAGGUUUGCUGGAAGGACUUGCAAUCACACAGGCAACCAAUGCUGGAGCAAUCUGUUCCUGAAGGACUGAACCCUGUGGAAAGGUCCCAUGCUGGAGUAGUUUGUGAAGAACUGCAGCCCAUGGGAAGAACCCAAAUUGGAGAAGUUCAUGGAGGAUUAUCUUUCAUGAAAGACACCCCACAGGGGAUCAGGGGAAGAGUGUGAGGAGUCCUUCCUCUAAAGAGGGGCAAAGACAGCAUAUGAGGAACUGAUGCCAACCCCAGUACCCCUGCACUGCUUGGUGGCUAGGAGGUAGAGAAAAAUUAAAAGGUGACCAAAACAUUCUGACAGAUCAGAAGCUCCUUAUUCUCAUCCUGAACAACAGGAAAACAGAAAGGAUGUUAGCUUGCAUUGACCUCAGUUGAACCAGCCUUGGGACCAUAAAGAGCACAGCUCUGUUAAACUUAACCUAACUCAUGAAUGAAGCUGAGAAAAAGGUUCAAAGUCAUUGAAGCAUGACGAUGACACACCCUGUGGCACAUGUGUCUGAGAGAGCAGAGUGACUGCAAACAGUUAACAUGGUUCCUGCAGCUUUACUGGUGGCAGUUCAGUGUUUGGCUUACAUUACACGGCCUCCAGUAUCUGGCAAUCAGUUCCAUUUUCUUAUUUUUCCCAUCAUAGAAGGCUAUUAAGGUGGCUUUGGUAAUCUCUUUCACUUCUUUGCUUCAAAGAUCCCAGAGCUGGAUGCAGUACUGCAGGACAUGUCUUACAAGAUUGGAGUACAGGGGCAGGAUCCCCUUCCUUGGUGAGGAGAGGUUGGGAGAAUUGGGACUGUCCCACCUGGAAAGGAGAAGGCUUUAGGGUGACCUAGUUGCAGCCUUCCACUACCUGAAGGGAACUUACAGGAAAAAUGGGAAGUACAAAGUCUAAGAAUAUAUCAAGGUGUGAAAAUGUCUCAAAUACAUUUUAAAAAAUGUUAGAAAAAACAAAUGACUACUGUUUUUUAAUAGAAGAACGACAGGAGGGACUUCUAUGGCAUUAUCAGAUUCUGCAUGUGCCCCU